rnacentral:rRNA from 1 species
UGGGAAGAAAGGCAUAGCUAAUCCAUGCGCUGGACGUACGACAGAAUUAGCAUCGCUAGUUGUUCAGCAGCAGCAGUAUGAGGAGGGGUGCGAGGCGCUAAUCGAAUACUGGGCGUAAAGCGCGCGUAGGUGGAUGCGUUACGUGAGAUAUGAAUCCCAUGCCUCAACUGAGAAUUGCAUCCAAAACUGGCGAGCUAGAGUAGGGCAGAGGGGAGGGAAUUUCCUGUGUCGCGGUGAAAUGCGUAGAUAUAGGAAGGCACACCAGUGGCGAAGGGCGACCCGGGGCUCAUACUGACACUGACGCUGCAAAAGCGUGGGGAGCAAACAGGAUUAGAUACCGGGGUAGUGCACGCCCGUAAACGAUGUCGACUAGCCGUUGGGAUCCUUGAGAUCUUAGUCGCGCAGCUAACGCAUUAAGUUGACCGCCUGGGGAGUACGGCCGCAAGGUUAAAACUCAAAUGAAUUGACGGGGGCCCGCACAAGCGGUGGAGCAUGUGGUUUAAUUUGAAGCAACGCGAAGACCCUUACCAGGCCUUGCCAUGCAAUGAACUUUCCAGAGAUGGAUUGGUGCAUUGGGGAACUGAGAACCAGGUCCCGCAUGGCGGUCGUCAGUUGUUGUCUUGAGAUGUGGGGUUAAGUCCCGAAACGAGCGCAACCCUUGUCCUUAGUUACCAGCAGGUUAGGGUGGGCACUCUAAGGAGACUGCCGGUGACAAACCGGAGGAAGGUGGGGAUGACGUCAAGUCAUCAUGGCCCUUACGGCCUGGGCUACACACGUGCUACAAUGGUCGGUACAGAGGGUCGCCAAGCCGCGAGGUGGAGCUAAUCUCACAAAACCGAUCGUAGUCCGGAUCGCAGUCUGCAACUCGACUGCGUGAAGUCGGAAUCGCUAGUAAUCGCGAAUCAGAAUGUCGCGGUGAAUACGUUCCCGGGCCUUGUACACACCGCCCGUCACACCAUGGGAGUGGGUUGCACCAGAAGUAGGUAGUCUAACCUUCGGGAGGACGGUUACCACGG